UCCACGCCGUAAACGAUGUCGACUUGGAGGUUGUGCCCUUGAGGCGUGGCUUCCGGAGCUAACGCGUUAAGUCGACCGCCUGGGGAGUACGGCCGCAAGGUUAAAACUCAAAUGAAUUGACGGGGGCCCGCACAAGCGGUGGAGCAUGUGGUUUAAUUCGAUGCAACGCGAAGAACCUUACCUGGUCUUGACAUCCACGGAAGUUUUCAGAGAUGAGAAUGUGCCUUCGGGAACCGUGAGACAGGUGCUGCAUGGCUGUCGUCAGCUCGUGUUGUGAAAUGUUGGGUUAAGUCCCGCAACGAGCGCAACCCUUAUCCUUUGUUGCCAGCGGUCCGGCCGGGAACUCAAAGGAGACUGCCAGUGAUAAACUGGAGGAAGGUGGGGAUGACGUCAAGUCAUCAUGGCCCUUACGACCAGGGCUACACACGUGCUACAAUGGCGCAUACAAAGAGAAGCGACCUCGCGAGAGCAAGCGGACCUCAUAAAGUGCGUCGUAGUCCGGAUUGGAGUCUGCAACUCGACUCCACGAAGUCGGAAUCGCUAGUAAUCGUGGAUCAGAAUGCCACGGUGAAUACGUUCCCGGGCCUUGUACACACCGCCCGUCACACCAUGGGAGUGGGUUGCAAAAGAAGUAGGUAGCUUAACCUUCGGGAGGGCGCUUACCACUUUGUGAUUCAUGACUGGG
rnacentral:rRNA from 1 species